GACGAACGCUGGCGGCGUGCCUAAUACAUGCAAGUAGGACGCAGUUGCGAACGGGUGAGUAACGCGUAGGUAACUACCUAUUAGAGGGGGAUAACUAUUGGAAACGAUAGCUAAUACCGCAUACUAGUAGAUGGACCUGCGUUGUAUUCGCUAGUAGGUAGGGUAAUGGCCUACCUAGGCAACGAUACAUAGCCGACCUGGGGAGGUGAUCGGCCACACAUGGACUGGGGCACGGCCCAAAAUCCUACGGGAGGCAGCAGUAGGGAAUCUUCGGGAAUGGGGGGAAAGCUGACCGAGCAACGCCGCGGGGGUGGAGAAGGUUUUCGGAUCGGAAAGCUCUGUUGUUAAGGAAGCGGUACUUAACCAGAAAGGGACGGCUAACUACGUGCCAGCAGCCGCGGUAAUAC
rnacentral:rRNA from 1 species